rnacentral:rRNA from 1 species
GGUUUGACGGUACCUAUAGAGGAAGCACCGGCUAACUCCGUGCCAGCAGCCGCGGUAAUACGGAGGGUGCAAGCGUUGUUUGGAAUUACUGGGCGUAAAGCGCGUGCAGGCGGUCUUGAAAGUCCCGUGUGAAAUCCCUCGGCUUAACUGGGGAAUGGCGCGGGAAACUCCAAGGCUAGAAUACGGGAGAAGUCAGCGGAAUCCCUAAUGUAGCGGUGAAAUGCGUAGAUAUUAGGAGGAACACCAGCGGCGAAAGCGGUUGACUAGCCCAAUAUUGACGCUGAGACGCGAAAGCGUGGGGAUCAAACAGGAUUAGAUACCCUGGUAGUCCACGCUGUAAACGAUGGAUACUAGGUGUUGCGGGUA